GAUGAACGCUGGCGGCGUGCCUAAUACAUGCAAGUCGAGCGAACAGACGAGGAGCUUGCUCCUUCGACGUUAGCGGCGGACGGGUGAGUAACACGUAGGUAACCUACCUAUAAGACUGGGAUAACUUCGGGAAACCGGAGCUAAUACCGGAUAAUAUUUCGAACCGCAUGGUUCGAUAGUGAAAGAUGGCUUUGCUAUCACUUAUAGAUGGACCUGCGCCGUAUUAGCUAGUUGGUAAGGUAACGGCUUACCAAGGCAACGAUACGUAGCCGACCUGAGAGGGUGAUCGGCCACACGGGAACUGAGCCACGUUCCAGACUCCUACGGGAGGCAGCAGUAGGGAAUCUUCCGCAAUGGGCGAGAGCCUGACGGAGCAACGCCGCGUGAGUGAUGAAGGUCUUCGGAUCGUAAAACUCUGUUAUUAGGGAAGAACAAACGUGUAAGUAACUGUGCACGUCUUGACGGUACCUAAUCAGAAAGCCACGGCUAACUACGUG
rnacentral:rRNA from 1 species